GGGUUGUGAGGUUAAGCGACUAAGCGUACACGGUGGAUGCCCUGGCAGUCAGAGGCGAUGAAGGGCGUGCUAAUCUGCGAUAAGCGUCGGCGAGGUGAUAUGAACCUUUGACCCGGCGAUACCCGAAUGGGGAAACCCAGUGUGUUCCGACACACUAUCAUGUCAUGAAUACAUAGUGGCAUGAGGCGAACCGGGGGAACUGAAACAUCUAAGUACCCCGAGGAAAAGAAAUCAACCGAGAUUCCCCCAGUAGCGGCGAGCGAACGGGGAGGAGCCCAGAGUCUGAAUCAGCGCGUGUGUUAGUGGAA
rnacentral:rRNA from 1 species